GUGGGGAAUCUUAGACAAUGGGGGAAACCCUGAUCUAGCCAUGCCGCGUGAGCGAUGAAGGCCUUAGGGUUGUAAAGCUCUUUCAGCUGGGAAGAUAAUGACGGUACCAGCAGAAGAAGCCCCGGCUAACUCCGUGCCAGCAGCCGCGGUAAUACGGAGGGGGCUAGCGGUGUUCGGAAUUACUGGGCGUAAAGCGCGCGUAGGCGGACCAGAAAGUUGGAGGUGAAAUCCCAGGGCUCAACCUUGGAACUGCCUUCAAAACUCCUGGUCUGGAGUUCGAGAGAGGUGAGUAGAAUUCCGAGUGUAGAGGUGAAAUUCGUAGAUAUUCGGAGGAACACCAGUGGCGAAGGCGGCUCACUGGCUCGAUACUGACGCUGAGGUGCGAAAGCGUGGGGAGCAAACAGGAUUAGAUACCCGAGUAGUCC
rnacentral:rRNA from 1 species